CUACUGCUUAUCGUGAAGUAUUCUAACUCAGGCGAGACUUCCUUAAUAUUAGAGAUUGCGUACCAGCUGUUGUUAACAAAGGGACACACCCGAUGCUGCUGUUUUGUCCUGCCGAUGCAUAGAAAAAACCACUAGAAUAUUAUCCAUGUCCUUGUUCAGCCAAGUUUCAGAGAAACAUAGGAUAUUACAGUUGUUCAGGUCCUGUUUAUUGGAUAGUCUCAAACGAAGCUCAUCCAGUUUGUUCUCCAGUGAUCAUACAUUAGCCAAUAGAACAGAGGGCAGAGGUGGAUUAUUUACUCGCGUCCGUAGUUUCAUCUGGGUAGCCACAUGUCGGCCUCUACAUUGCUAUCUCUUUCGAGUGUUGUGGAUUAGGGCCUAGUCUGGGGUGAGCAGUAUUUCCUGUGCCACCGACUCAUUGAAGUAGAAAUCUUCAUCCAAUUUGAGGAGGAGGAGGGUCCAAAGGUGCUGCUGGAGGACAACCAGACCACACCUCCUCCUGAAUCCACAGAGGAACCAGCUGAGCAGCACAGGACCACACAGUCCCAUGGAGCCUCCACUGGACUGUAGACUGCCAGUAGACAUGGAGGAUGGGAAGCCUAAUCUGCUGCUAGUCAAACAGGAGACAGAGGAAUAACCAGAGAGCAUUGACCUGCUGAGUGGACUAAAGAUGGGGGAGCAAGGUAAGGGAGAAAUACAUAUAGCUUACAUAAAGUAAUAGAUCUUCAAUGGGAAUAGUGAUGCAUAUGGCAACAAAAAAAUAUUCAUAAAAUAAAAUCAAUACAACUUGUGUUUACAAACAAACACACACAUGAUAUGUAUGAACUUGACCAGGUAAUUGACAAAAAUAAAUCCAUAUACAGUGCAUUUGGAAAUAAUUCAGACCCUUUCUU